AUUUGAAAUCUGGCCCCAGGCCCUAGUUGUAAUUUGCAGAGGAUGCUUUUGGCGCGGUGCCUUCCGAGUUCCCUGGAACGGGACGCCAUAGAGGGUGAGAGCCCCGUCUGGUUGGAUACCAAGCCUUUGUAAAGCUCCGUCCACGAGUCGAGUAGUUUGGGAAUGCUGCUCUAAAUGGGAGGUAUAUGUCUUCUAAAGCUAAAUACCGGCCAGAGACCGAUUGCGCACAAGUAGAGUGAUCGAAAGAUUAAAAGUAUUUUAGAAAGAUACUUAAACNUCACGUGAAAUUGUUAAAAGGGAAGCGUUUAUGACCAG
rnacentral:rRNA from 1 species